UGUUGUGCUGGCUGUAGCCAUGUACAAACGUCAAAUAACGGCUCACUCCAUCACCUAUAUUUAGCAAACUACUGUAGCACAAUAGCCGCCAGUGCAAUGUCUCGAGUGGGAUUAUUGUUUUUAUCUAAUACAUUUGCAAACAUUUCUAAAAACCUGUUUUAAGCUUUGACAUAUGGCUGCUACUAAAGGGGUAGAUAGUUCAAUAGUAAUAUCCUCUAAAACGCUCCGGUGACAAACAAACUGUGCUGCCCUGUUUCCAAUCGUCCACAUGGCUGGGAGAACCUAUUCAACAUAAAGUACUCUGCAGCCACUUAGUGUGGUGUGGACACCAGGUGAGGCCACACACACAGAUUCCUGUUGAAGACUGUCACGUUAACUACCUUAUUUUCUCAAUAAAUAGUCUCUCUCAUUCACUUCAUCCCUCUCUCCUCUUCUCCCUAAAUCCUCUAGGUUAUAUCAGCUGUAUCGGUGAACACCUCCCGCAUCUGAACUGGCUACAUAGAGGGCACUUGGUCAGGUCAACAAGAAGUAUUAUUAAAGAGAUGUUUUACAUUGAAAUACAGAUGUAGUUGUCCCAGAGUUAAUGAUCCAAGGUCAGUUUUGCAUUUAAUCUGAUGAUUAUGAGGACUAACAAUGUUAGUAUAAAAAAUAAAAACAAGGCUUAAACAUGCUAUCUCUCUUGUCUGCAGAUAUGUUUUGAUGUGAGAGAGGAUGCCAACUCCCAGUCCCAUCAUCGCCACCUCAUCCGCUCUUAAGAUAAGUGUCUCUAGUCGGCCCGAAGGUUAUGAAAUUGUGAUGAACUGAGAGAAUAUUUGGGUAUCAAUGAUUCAUCAAUCAUAUGCUGCCUUCCCUCCUCCUAUGUUCUUACCUCUUUCCCUUUGUCUUUAACACCUCUCACCACCUCUUUCUUCCUCUGUUUUAUAAUGUACAACAGAUGUACAUUGAAGUACAGAUUGAACUUGCAUUUAUAAUAUUACAAAUAUAUUUAUGCAUGUAUUUAUCCAACACUUGGAUAAUGAACUUCUUUCAAUAAAGUGUCACAUUCUCUACUGGUUGAAA